rnacentral:lncRNA from 1 species
CGGAACUGGAACCCCUGCAGGGCCUCGUAGUCCAGAGACCUGAGGGCGAACAGGUGGCCGUUGUCCGCGUUGAUGGAGACCAGGGAUGUGAGGGGCAGGUGCGGGUCCUGGGGCGGCAGCAGCGAGUAGGUGACCUGGGCGUUGGUGCCUGAGUCUCUGUCUGUAGCGCUGACGCUGCGGAUGUGCAGGGCGGGGCUGUUGUUCUCGCGGACGAACAGGGUGUAGGAGGUUUGGGUGAAGGCGGGAGCGUUGUCAUUGACAUCGGCGAUCAGCACGGUCAUAUUGAGCUGUGUUAUCAGCAUAGGGGUCCCCAAGUCAGUGACAGUGAUAGUGAUGUUGUAUUCCGGUGUAGGAGGUUUGGGUGAAGGCGGGGGCGUUGUCAUUGACGUCGGAGACCUGCAGGGUUAUGCUGUGCUCGGUUUUCAGCCUGGGUGUCCCCAAGUCAGUGACGGUGAUGGUGAUGUUGUACUCAGCUUUGCUCUCUCUGUCCAGUGCACCUUCAGUCAUUAGGAUGUAAAAAUUGUCAACAGACGGUUUCAGAAAAAAAGGCAGAUUAUCUUGAACAUAGCAAAUUGU